GAUUAAGUUAUUAAGGGCGCACGGUGGAUGCCUUGGCACUAGAAGCCGAUGAAGGACGUUACUAACGACGAUAUGCUUUGGGGAGCUGUAAGUAAGCUUUGAUCCAGAGAUUUCCGAAUGGGGAAACCCAGCAUGAGUUAUGUCAUGUUAUCGAUAUGUGAAUACAUAGCAUAUCAGAAGGCACACCCGGAGAACUGAAACAUCUUAGUACCCGGAGGAAGAGAAAGAAAAUUCGAUUCCCUUAGUAGCGGCGAGCGAAACGGGAAGAGCCCAAACCAACAAGCUUGCUUGUUGGGGUUGUAGGACACUCUGUACGGAGUUACAAAGGACGACAUUAGACGAAUCAUCUGGAAAGAUGAAUCAAAGAAGGUAAUAAUCCUGUAGUCGAAAAUGUUGUCUCUCUUGAGUGGAUCCUGAGUACGACGGAGCACGUGAAAUUCCGUCGGAAUCUGGGAGGACCAUCUCCUAAGGCUAAAUACUCUCUAGUGACCGAUAGUGAACCAGUACCGUGAGGGAAAGGUGAAAAGCACCCCGGAAGGGGAGUGAAAUAGAACCUGAAACCGUGUGCUUACAAGUAGUCAGAGCCCGUUAAUGGGUGAUGGCGUGCCUUUUGUAGAAUGAACCGGCGAGUUACGAUUUGAUGCAAGGUUAAGCAGUAAAUGUGGAGCCGUAGCGAAAGCGAGUCUGAAUAGGGCGUUUAGUAUUUGGUCGUAGACCCGAAACCAGGUGAUCUACCCUUGGUCAGGUUGAAGUUCAGGUAACACUGAAUGGAGGACCGAACCGACUUACGUUGAAAAGUGAGCGGAUGAACUGAGGGUAGCGGAGAAAUUCCAAUCGAACCUGGAGAUAGCUGGUUCUCUCCGAAAUAGCUUUAGGGCUAGCCUCAAGUGAUGAUUAUUGGAGGUAGAGCACUGUUUGGACGAGGGGCCCCUCUCGGGUUACCGAAUUCAGACAAACUCCGAAUGCCAAUUAAUUUAACUUGGGAGUCAGAACAUGGGUGAUAAGGUCCGUGUUCGAAAGGGAAACAGCCCAGACCACCAGCUAAGGUCCCAAAAUAUAUGUUAAGUGGAAAAGGAUGUGGCGUUGCCCAGACAACUAGGAUGUUGGCUUAGAAGCAGCCAUCAUUUAAAGAGUGCGUAAUAGCUCACUAGUCGAGUGACACUGCGCCGAAAAUGUACCGGGGCUAAACAUAUUACCGAAGCUGUGGAUUGUCCUUUGGACAAUGGUAGGAGAGCGUUCUAAGGGCGUUGAAGCAUGAUCGUAAGGACAUGUGGAGCGCUUAGAAGUGAGAAUGCCGGUGUGAGUAGCGAAAGACGGGUGAGAAUCCCGUCCACCGAUUGACUAAGGUUUCCAGAGGAAGGCUCGUCCGCUCUGGGUUAGUCGGGUCCUAAGCUGAGGCCGACAGGCGUAGGCGAUGGAUAACAGGUUGAUAUUCCUGUACCACCUAUAAUCGUUUUAAUCGAUGGGGGG
rnacentral:rRNA from 1 species